AUUGAGUAUUUUUCAAUUAUUCUUUUAUAACAAAAGAAAAAAAUAUUGUGAAAAUUCUACCAUCAAAAUUGGAUAGAAAUGAAAAAACUCCAUUUAUGAUUUCUCAAUAUGGUUACACAAGAAACGAAAAUCGCCUUCAAAGUAGUGUACACUCUAGUAUGGUUAUUUUUUACAAGUUAUUAUUUUUGGGGUGCACAAGAAGUAACUGUAACAACUCCGAUUGAUGAAUCUGGUUGGGUACCAGAUGGAGCAUUUGCAUCUGAAAUUAUGCAAACUGGAACACAGCCUGAAGAGCAAAGCGCUUAAUGUUAUUAAACUUGCAUAAAGAAAUUAACUGUGAUAAAUUUUAAUUAUCUGUCUCUGAUACAAUAAAUGGUGUCAAAUAAAUGUGAA